rnacentral:rRNA from 1 species
UACGUAGGGUGCAAACGUUGCUCGGAAUCAUUGGGCGUAAAGCGCACGUAGGCGGCUCCGUAAGUCGGAUGUGAAAUCCCUCGGCUCAACCGAGGACGUGCAUCCGAAACUGUGGAGCUCGAGUAUGGAAGAGGGUCGCGGAAUUCCCGGUGUAGAGGUGAAAUUCGUAGAUAUCGGGAGGAACACCAGUGGCGAAGGCGGCGACCUGGGCCAAUACUGACGCUGAGGUGCGAAAGCGUGGGGAGCAAACAGG